rnacentral:rRNA from 1 species
UACGGAGGGGGCUAGCGUUGUUCGGAAUUACUGGGCGUAAAGCGCACGUAGGCGGAUCGUUAAGUCGAGGGUGAAAUCCUGGAGCUCAACUCCAGAACUGCCUUCGAUACUGGCGAUCUCGAGUCCGGAAGAGGUGAGUGGAACUCCUAGUGUAGAGGUGGAAUUCGUAGAUAUUAGGAAGAACACCAGUGGCGAAGGCGGCUCACUGGUCCGGUACUGACGCUGAGGUGCGAAAGCGUGGGGAGCAAACAGG